GGUUGAUCCUGCCAGUUGUCAUAUGCUUGUUUCAAGGACUAAGCCAUGCAAGUGUGAGAGUACUCGGGACUUGUCUCGAGAGGUCUGUGUACGGCUCAUUAAACGGUUUAUUGUCUACCCAACGAAGGAUGUGCAUUUGCCACCCCAACGGGAUAACUUUGCUAACUGCAAAGCUAAUACCUGUAAGAAGAACCUCGUACCUUCAAAACAGGGAGGUGACCUCGGUUGCCUUUCUGUGGUUCGAGGUGCGCUUCGCCGAAACAAAAACCAACGCCGAUCUUUCGGCAGCUA
rnacentral:rRNA from 1 species